ensembl:lncRNA
GGUGAACUUCCCAUAGGCAAGAACGUUCUGAUGGCUUAUAAAUUUUCUCCUCUUUGAACAGUGCAGUUAAAGUUGUUUUUGAGAGGGGUGGCCUGUUGGCACAGCGGUUAAGUGCACACCUUCCGCUUUGGCUGCCCGGGGUUCACCGCUUUGGGACCCAGGUGUGGACAUGGCACCUCAUGGCAAGCCAUGCUGUGGUAGGCGUCCCACAUAUAAAGUGAAGGAAGAUGGGCACGGAUGUUAGCUCAGGGCCAGUCUUCCUCAGCAAAAGAGGAGGAUUGGCAGCAGAUGUUAGCUCAGGGCUGAUCUUCCUCCAAAAGAAAAAGUUGUUUUUGAGAUUAGAAGUGACAUAAACACCUUUAAAACUCAGAGGUAUUCUCACCUAAUUGGCAGACAAGUGGAUGAUUUUGCAAUUUUCAGUAUACUUUAGUGAGGAAACUCAAAGGGAAGAGUUUAUUAAAGAAUGAGCAAAUUUCCUACUUCUCAGUGUACCAAUUUUGACUUUUCGACUUGAGCCUCCUUUACGACUAAACCAGAGCCACACACUUCCCACCAUGUGGUGCUAAAUUACCAAACUCAACUUCAAGGGUCUUCUCUCAAUCACUCCUCAGGUAUUCAGUGAUUGCAAGGAAUAGAGACGACACAGCAGUAACUAGUGGCACGUCGAUCCUGCUGCACGGCCCUGGUCGCUCAAGGGAAUCCUAAAGCAGCUGCAGCAUAGGAGUGACUCAGUAACAGAGCUGAGAAUCUGGUUUACGCAUGAAACAGAAACAGUCCCUUCUCACCUCUAAUUCCCCACAGCCAGUUCUUCCCCUCCUCACUCCAUAGCCUCCCCUAGAUCCAUGCAGGCUUGGUCACUGGGUGAGCCUCAGUACUUUCUCGUGCCUUGGACAAUGACGUAGUUUUAAAUUACUGCAAGGGCCUUUUGCCCUGAAGGGUCACACAUUCAGAGAACCAGGGAUUAGGUCAUGGGCAUCUUUUGGGGGGUGUUAUUAUGUCUACCACAGUCCACCUCUGGCCCUCAAAGGUUCGCAUCAGUCUCAUAUGCAGAAUACAUUCAACCCAUACCAAAGUCCCCCCAAUCAAACCAUUACAGCGUCAACUCAAAGACCAAAAUCCCUUCUUCAUCUCAUCAGAUUGAAUGUCCCUAAUUCAUUAUUUAAAUCAUCCAAACUGGGUAUGGGUGAGGCUUGGUUUAUGAUCCAUCCUGGGAUACAAUUCUCUAUAUGUGGACCUGUGAAACUAAAGAAAAAGUUACGUGCUUUCAACAUACAAUGGUGCAACAGGCAUAUUACAAUAAUUAUAGACAUUCUCAUUCAAAAAAGAAAAAAAAGGGGGGAAAAAAAAGGAAAUCACUGGUCCAAAGCAAUUGUAAAAUCCAGCUGAGCAAACUCCAUUUGGUUUCAAAGUCUGUGAAUAAUUCUCUGUGCCUCAUGGCUACACUCUCUGAGUCCCCCCCCCCAACCCCCAAGUCUUGAGCCUUUUGGUCUAGGUUUAGCUGGUUCCAUCACUUCCUGUCACACAUUGGCCUAUCCCAGCUGGAAUGCCUAAUGAACUCUUCUCUACCCAGUCACCAGACUUAGAGCAAAUCUGUUGGAGGAAGGAGGAUGCCUGAAAUGCCUUGGAUAAAAUUGCCCACGGUUUGACACUCAGCACAUAAUCCACGUGUUCUGACUCAGAGAAUCUUAAUGAUUUACAUGCGUGUCACCUGAGAAGGGCUUCUAAACCCAGGGUUUAGUAGCUGUUUGAAUGACCUAUUUUGGUUAAUAAUCCCAAACUGUUAUUAUCUCCAGGAGAAUGGAUAGUCCUACCUGGGUAAAUGAUUCUUGUUCAAAGACAUACAAUUUUUUUUUUUUUUUGAGGAAGAUCAGCCCUGAGCUAACACCUGCUGCCAAUCCUCCUCUUUUUGCUGAGGAAGACUGGCCCUGAGCUAACAUCCAUGCCCAUCUUCCUCUACUUUAUAUAUGGGACACCUACCACAGCAUGGUGUGCCAAGUGGUCCCAUGUCUGCACCCAGGAUCCGAACCAGCGAACCCCAGGCCACUAAGCAGCAGAACGUGCGAACUUAUCCACUGCGCCACCGGGCUGGCCCCUAAAGAAAUACAAAUUUGAACCUGUUCAACCC